CCCUGAGUGGCUCAGUCGGUUAAGCGUCUGACUUCGGCUCAGGUCAGGAUCUCACGGUUCGUGGGUUUGAGCCCCACGUCGGGCU
rnacentral:tRNA from 1 species